rnacentral:tRNA from 1 species
UCCCUGGUGGCUGAAAUGGUAAAAAAAUCUGCCUUCAAUGCAGAAGACCUGGGUUUGAUUCCUGGGUUGGGAA